rnacentral:lncRNA from 1 species
AGGAAGAGGACAGAGAUGUGGCUAACGAGAUAUCAUUGUUUCCCGGUAAGAGCAUUGAGAUAUAACCUUGGAUUUCCAAUGUCACGACCCAUGCCAACAGAAGAAAAGGAGAACUGAGUAGUGGAUCCAAGAGGGUUGUGUCCAACGAUGAGAUUGAAGGAAAAGAAUUUGAAGAUCGUUGUUCCAAUGUCAAAAAGAU